GUGAAGAAAAAUUUGGAAUGUCUUAUACUAUUCAAUAACAGAAUAUACAGUUGGCUCAAUAAAAAAUAUGUAUGCGUUCUCGUGCUGUGACUUGUGUGGUGUAUCAUUUGAGAUUUGAUUCCAUACUUCUUAACUCCCCUCAAGCUGGGGACUGGUGAAUUUCAACCAGUCCAAGCUUGGACAACAUGAAAUGAAAACUAGAGGCAGUUGGUACUUUAGUAAAAAUAUCAGCAAGUUGAAGGCAUGAUGGCAAAUGGGUUGUCUUGAGAAAACCAGCGAGAAUGUGAUUGCGAACGACAUGACAAUCAAUAGUGUGUUCAUGAAAAAUUGGAUUGUUAUUGCAAUGGAGAGGGAUUGGUGUUUAAACAGGAAUGUUAAAAUCUUGAAGGAGGAAUGAAAUUCAUUUCAAUGGAGCGACUAGCUGUAGCUUGCCUUUUAGCCUUCCAAGAGAUAAGAGAGGGGCCAAGAAAUAUGCAAAACCCAGUAAUGGACCGUUGACUAGUUGGACAGGUAGCCCAAUCAGCAUCACAGUAUGCUUGCAGCUGAAAGGAAGAUGAUGUUGGAAAACAAUGCCUUUGGAGGAACAACCACGUAAGUAUUUCAUGAGGUGUAUGAGAGUGUGCCAAAGGCAGACACGAGGCUGUUGUAAGUGAGCUGUUGGACAACAAAGGUGAUAUCAGGUCUGGUCAUGUUCAGAUAAAUUAUUUAAAUCUAGAAAAAUCAAAUUUUAGACUAAUAAAAUAGAUUUUUAAGUCCUCUACUAAAAAUAUUGAUGGGAUCAUUUUUAUUAUAAUAUUUAGAGAUUAAGCAUAUAGUGAUGACAAAUUGCUACUAAAAUUCAUGUAAAUAACUCAAACAUUUAUAUAUAAUAAACAAUGAUUUAUUAAAAAUAUGCAAGAAAAACACUUCAUGCUAUUGGAUUUUAUGUUUUCGGAUCCAUAAAAUAGAGUUUACAAUAAUCGUGUGAGUUUAGACGAAGAGAAAGAAGUUUAUCUCUUUUAUUCCUCUUCCUUUUGUCAAUUAGGGAUAUUUAAUUAGACCGAAUUACUUUUCAUUAAAUCCGGGUCUACGAUAGGUCCGGCCUGCUCUGCCGUGUCUGGAUCGAGGCUCAAGAGUCGAUUUGCUUAAGGCUUGAUGGGUUUUGAGACAGUGUUCUUUUCUUAGACCCGAUCUCAAGUAGAGGAAGUCUGGCAUUAUCAGGAUCAAAUUACAAAAGCCGCAAUGUAUUAUGAAAAUUGAAUUCUAUGUACAACAAAGAAAAAUACUAUUUUGUUAUAAAAUUAUUUUGCAUCACAACAGAGGGUAAAUCCAUAAUCUCACAAAAGUUCUGUUCUUUGGAUUUUAAUCUUGGUUUCUCCGGGAGAGAAUACUGAUCUCAGAGCACAGCUGGAUUCUCCAUGUCAGAAUCCAUAAACACAACAAGAAUUAAAAGAUAGUGUCAACAAAUACGGAGGCAUCUUCUCAAGAAGAAUAGUACUGUUCAAUGGGGUCAAUGUCAAGUCCCUUGAGUCUCACCACCGAUUCCACAUGCCCCUUUAACCUGGUAGCCCAAAAGAUCAUAGCAUUCAGUUAACAAGCAACACAAACUAUUGAUUGGACAAAUAUCUGUAAUAAGCUUCAGUUGCAUCAUUACCUUGCUAUUUCUGCACGCCUCUUUGCCUCCUCAGCCAUCUCAGACAAUUCCCAGUAAGAAUUCUUAUCCUGGAAGAGUAAUGGAGUUUCAGAAGAAGGGGACGAGUAAUUAGGAGAUUGCAGUCCUUGCUGGGAAGUUUGAGCAGUUUCUAAGCGCUCAAGGGCUGAUUUUGGAGGAGGAUUCCUUGGAAAUCUAUAACAUAAUAUACCAAAUGCAAAGAUUAUUGGCCAAGCAGAGAUUUUGAUAGGACUAUUAUUGCCUAAUCAACUAUUUCUUUAGUCCUUAAGCAUAAUCUAUAUAAAAUUGCAGCCUCUCAAACAGAAUAGUACUGUUCAUCAGAGUCAAUCUCAAGCUCCCUGAGUUCUGCCACUGAUUCAACUUGCCCCUUUAUUGUAUGAAGCUCCUUUAACCUCGCUAAUUCCUCACGCUUCUUCCUCUUCGCCUUCUUAAUUUUCUCGGAAUAUUUCCCGUCUUUCUUCUUAUCUCCAUAGUAUAAUGAAGUUUCAGAAUCUUGCAGCUCACGGAGGUUUCUCUGAGCAGGAUUCUCCCGGUGAAUUUCCGACCGAUGAUUCCUUGGAAAUCUAGUAAGCAAUACACCAAAAGCAAAGAUCAAUGGCCAAACAGAGAUUUUGAUAGGAUUAUCAGAUUUAUGAGACAGAAACUCAUAAGCAACUGCUGCUGAAACACAUUGGAAGAUGCUACAAACUAAUCCGACAACAUCGGCAAAUGUCCCCAGAGGCUUGAAACUGGGACCUUGGGAAUAAAACCAAGGUAUGAUCUUGUCUCUUUUCAUCCAUUUGACUCUUUGUCUUCGACCCAUUCGGACAAAAUCAAGAACUGAGAUGAGCAUGAUUAUGAGAGACAUGAUCAUGCUGAUCAGUGCAUAGCGAGGUUUGUGAACUGAAGAGAGCUGAUCGAGCACCGCCGAUGGAAGCUCCACCACAAGAUUUGUGAUCAAUAAAAUCCGUUCAAGGUUCGUGUCUUGAUGAUCGGAAAGUGUGGUUGACAUUUUCUCCGUCUCUCUCGUUUCUUCUGUGUAUGGUUGAAUUUGCUCCUUCAAUAAUUGGCGUGUGACUAAAAUUAAUGAACCAUAUGAUUGUGUUUUGGACAUAUAUGAUCGGCCGAGUUUUUAAGUAAAAUUUUUCUAAAAAAUUAUACUUAUAUACGAAAAUUUAUUGCAUAAUCCUAAAAUAUUAUUUCAUCAAAUUAAGAUGGUACACUCAAUUAAUACUAUCAUAAAAGAAAUUCAUUUUGUAAUUUUAAAUCAAUAUUAAAAAAAAUAAUUUUUAUUAACUUUAUAUUUAUACCCAUAUUAAAAAUAUUAAAUUUUAUUAAAUAUUAAAAGAUUUUUUGAAAAUAAAAUAAAAUUAAAAGUCUAUUUUAUUUUUCACACUUAUUAAAAAAGAUAUUUUUUAUUAAUUUUAUAAUUAUAUUCAUAUUAAAAAUAUUAAAUUUUAUUAAAUAUUAAGAAAUAUUUUAAGAGAUUUCUUGAAAAUAAAGAAUAUGAAUGCGUUCUCGUGCCGUAACUUGUGUGGUGUAUCGAUCAUUUGAGAUUUGAUUCCAUACUUCUUAACUCCCCUCAAGCUGGGGACCGGUGAAUUUCAACCAGUCCAAGCUUGGACAACAUGAAAUGAAAACUAGAGGCGGUUGAUGCUUUAGUAAAGAUAUCGGCAAGUUGAAGGCAUGAUGGCAAAUGGGUUGUUUUGAGAAAACCAGCAAGAAUGUGAUCGCAAACGAUAUGACAAUCAAUGUCAAUGUGCUUAGUGCAUUCAUAAAAAAUUGAAUUGUUACUGAUAUGAUAGCUGCUAGGUUAUCGCAAUGGAGAGGGAUGGUGUUUGAACAGGAAUGUUAAAAUCUUGAAGGAGGAAUGAAAUCCAUUUCAAUUCACAAGAGGUACUCGCCAUACUCAUGUACUCUGCUUCAGCAGAGGAGCGACUAGCUGUAGCUUGCCUUUUAGCCUUCCAAGAGAUAAGAGAGGGGCCAAGAAAUAUGCAGAACCCAGUAAUGGACCGUCGACUAGUUGGACAGUCAGCCCAAUCAGCAUCACAGUAUGCUUGCAGCUGAAAGGAAGAUGAUGUUGGAAAAAAAAUGCCUUUGGAGGAACAACCACGUAAGUAUUUCAUGAGGUGUAUGAGAGCGUGCCAAUGGCAGACACGAGGCUGUUGUAAGUGUUGAUUGAGCUGUUGGACAACAAAGGUGAUAUCAGAUCUGGUCAUAUUCAGAUAAAUUAACUUGCCUACUGCUCAAUGAUAUUACCUAGGAUUGGGAAGCAAGUCACUCAUGUUGUCAUCAAGGCAAGCACUCUUAUUUGUAGGAACAGUGGUAGGUUUUGCGGCAGAGAGGCCCGUGUCAUGAAGCAUAUCUAAAAUAUAUUUGUGUUGUCUGAG
rnacentral:lncRNA from 1 species